rnacentral:rRNA from 1 species
UGGGGAAUUUUGGACAAUGGGCGAAAGCCUGAUCCAGCAAUGCCGCGUGUGUGAAGAAGGCCUUCGGGUUGUAAAGCACUUUUGUCCGGAAAGAAAUCCUUGGCUCUAAUGCAGUCGGGGGAUGACGGUACCGGAAGAAUAAGCACCGGCUAACUACGUGCCAGCAGCCGCGGUAAUACGUAGGGUGCAAGCGUUAAUCGGAAUUACUGGGCGUAAAGCGUGCGCAGGCGGUUUGCUAAGACCGAUGUGAAAUCCCCGGGCUCAACCUGGGAACUGCAUUGGUGACUGGCAGGCUAGAGCAUGGCAGAGGGGGGUAGAAUUCCACGUGUAGCAGUGAAAUGCGUAGAGAUGUGGAGGAAUACCGAUGGCGAAGGCAGCCCCCUGGGCCAAUACUGACGCUCAUGCACGAAAGCGUGGGGAGCAAACAGGAUUAGAUACCCUGGUAGUCCACGCCCUAAACGAUGUCAACUAGUUGUGGGGAUUCAUUUCCUAGUAACGUAGCUAACGCGUGAAGUUGACCGCCUGGGGAGUACGGUCGCAAGAUUUAAAAACUU